rnacentral:pre_miRNA from 1 species
UAAUUACUCCCUCCGUUCGAAAAUACUUGUCAUCAAAAAGAAUAAAAAGGGAUGUAUCUAAAUGUAUUUUAGUUCUAGAUACAUUCUUUUUCAUCCAUUUUGAUGACAAGUAUUUUGAGACGGAGAGAGUACUAA